rnacentral:rRNA from 1 species
UACGUAGGGGGCAAGCGUUGUCCGGAAUCAUUGGGCGUAAAGAGCGUGUAGGCGGCUUGGUAAGUCCGCUGUGAAAGUCCAGGGCUCAACCCUGGAAAGCCGGUGGAAACUGUCAAGCUUGAGUCCGGAAGAGGGUCGUGGAAUUCCUGGUGUAGUGGUGAAAUACGUAGAUAUCAGGAGGAACACCGGUGGCGAAGGCGGCGACCUGGUCCAAUAUUGACACUCAUACACGAAAGCGUGGGGAUCAAACAGG